AAUUUUUUAAGAUUUUCGUAUAAUUUCUGAUGAUGACAGUUUUGCGAAAUGGUUAAAAAAAUUUAUGGAGUUUUAUAAUUGAAAAUUGUUUGCAUAUUGGGAAAGGUACAACUGAAUAAAUUGCAAAAAAAUGGCAACCUCCUAAAAUCAAAUGACCCAUCCAUCCUGAAAUUCAAUAGGGACUAACCUGUCAAACGAAUCCGAAUAGAUUGCAACAGAGAGCACUUCAGAAGAGUAGAAUACAAGGACAAUUCUUCGGAGCUGAACUACAAUGGGUGGUACAGUCGAUUUAUUCGGAACGGACAAUGCCAAUUCCAUAAAUGCCUCAAUCUGAGAGUCUAUACCGUCACCCAACACCCCCAGGGUUCAAAUAUUGACUUUCAUUCUAAUACUCAGGUCCUGGUUCAAGCACCCGCCGUACGCCAUGCGACAGCACCUGGAUCAUAAGUCGAAGAGUAUGUCAAUUGCUUAAUUGGAUAAUUGUCGAGUGUACUUAGCCCGUUAUGAGAAUCAUGGCGAAAAAUGUGAGAGUCGAGAACACACAAAAGGAGACUUGGGGUCCUGGCCAGCAAAAUUAGGAGCACUAGGAGCAGUGUUUGAGCGGAGAAUCCACUGAAGAAUUUUUGGUCUCCUACCAAACAGAUCGCAAUGGUUUGGUUGUGGGUAUAAUCUUAUUCAAUAUGGUGGAUGGGUGAAAAUGAUCCAGUCUGGAAGCCUAUAGAGAUAAUAUUCACGGCAGAAAAAGAACCCUGCCUUGAAUGGACCGAUGGCGUAAGUCAGGACACCAAACAUCUGCAGGGAAUAUUGAAUUGGUAGAACUUGGCGCAAAACCAGCAUGUUUGGAGUUCGUUAUUAAACCAGGCUUAGACUGGACACUAGCGAAGGCACGAACAGCGGACUAUGAAGCAUAGGAGAAAAGGAACCGCCCAAUUUUUCUUUGUUUUGUAAAGCUUCGUAGAUUGUCUUAUUAAGCAGUUUGGAAAUAUCCCGGUCAAGUUGUAUACUACUAGAACUAACGCAACAAA